rnacentral:rRNA from 1 species
AACGAACGCUGGCGGCAGGCCUAACACAUGCAAGUCGAGCGAGAAGGAUCUUUCGGGAUCUGGAGAGCGGCGGACGGGUUAGUAACGCGUGGGAACGUGCCUUAAGGUCUGGGAUAACUAUUGGAAACGAUAGCUAAUACCGGAUGGUAUCUUCGGAUUAAAGCUUUAGCGCCUUAAGAUCGGCCCGCGUUAGAUUAGCUAGUUGGUGAGGUAACGGCUCACCAAGGCGACGAUCUAUAGCUGGUUUGAGAGGAUGAUCAGCAACACUGGAACUGAGACACGGUCCAGACUCCUACGGGAGGCAGCAGUGGGGAAUAUUGCGCAAUGGAGGAAACUCUGACGCAGCCAUGCCGCGUGAGUGAAGAAGGCCCUCGGGUUGUAAAACUCUUUCAACGGUGAAGAUGAUGACGGUAACCGUAGAAGAAGCACCGGCUAACUUCG